CUUCUAUUACCCCCUAACCAUAGACUAGACUGCUCUCUUCCAUUACCCCCUAACCAUAGACUAGACUGCUCUCUUCCAUUACCCCCUAACCAUAGACUAGACUGCUCUCUUCCAUUACCCCCAUACACCAGGCAGCAUUUUGCUUUCAAUCCCUCCAAAGGCAGGCCAAGCUGCUUGCUUCCAUGCCUUCAUACCGCCCUAUACAAUUCUGUUUACCUCCAGGCAAAACCCUGUUGAAAAGGCUGCUCUCUUCCAGGCCAACAUCUCCAGUAGAUGAUGCUGCCCAUUUCUAGUCAACCCUCCGUUAGACGAUGCAGCUUGCUUCCAGUCUCCCUUCUGCUGUAGACCAGGUUUCUGACUUUCAGUUCUUCCCUUGCAGACCAGCUUCUAGCUCCCCUCUCCUCGCUG